rnacentral:ncRNA from 1 species
UCGUAGGCGGCUUGUCACGUCGGUCGUGAAAGCCCGGGGCUUAACCCCGGGUCUGCAGUCGAUACGGGCAGGCUAGAGUUCGGUAGGGGAGAUCGGAAUUCCUGGUGUAGCGGUGAAAUGCGCAGAUAUCAGGAGGAACACCGGUGGCGAAGGCGGAUCUCUGGGCCGAUACUGACGCUGAGGAGCGAAAGCGUGGGGAGCGAACAGGAUUAGAUACCCUGGUAGUCCACGCCGUAAACGGUGGGGCACUAGGUGUGGGCAACAUUCCACGUUGUCCGUGCCGCAGCUAACG